UACGUAGGGUCCGAGCGUUGUCCGGAGUUACUGGGCGUAAAGCGCGCGCAGGCGGCGGUGUUGGCCCGGCGUGAAAGCCCCCGGCUCAACCGGGGAGGGUCGUCGGGGACCGCACCGCUUGAGGGCGGUAGGGGCUGGUGGAAUGCCUGGUGUAGUGGUGAAAUGCGUAGAGAUCAGGCGGAACACCCGUGGCGAAGGCGGCCAGCUGGGCCGUCCCUGACGCUGAGGCGCGAAGGCGUGGGGAGCGAACGGGA
rnacentral:rRNA from 1 species